CAGCAGCCGCGGUAAUACCAGCGGUCCAAGUAGCAUCCAACAUUAUUGGGUCUAAAACAUCCGUAGCUUGUUAAUUAAGUUUCUUGUGAAAUCCCACGUCUCAAGCGUGGGGCUUGCAAGAAAUACUGGUUAGCUAGAGAUCGGUAGACGUAAGGAGUACGAUUGAGGUAGUGGUUAAAUACGUUAAUCUUAAUCGGACUAACAAUGAGCGAAGGCACCUUACGAGGACGAAUCUGACAGUGAGGGAUGAAGGCCAGGGGCGCAAAACGGAUUAGAUACCCGUGUAGUCCUGGCAGUAAACACUGCUCACUAAACAUCGGGCCCUCUUCGGGAGGAUUCGGUGCUGAAGCGAAGGCGAAGAGUGAGCUACCUGGGAAGUAUAGUCGCAAGAUCGAAACUUAAAGGAAUUGGCGGGGAGACAUACAACGAGUGACGCGUGCGGUUCAAUUAGAUUCUACACCGUGAACCUCACCAGGAGCGACAGCAGGAUGAAGGUCAGUCUAAAGGGCUUACCUGACACGCUGAGCGGAGAAGCAUGGCCGACGUCAGCCUGUGCUGUGAAGUGACCUGUUAAAUCAGGUAACAGGCGAGACCCGUAUUUAUAAUUACUACAGAAAUGGGUACAUUAUAGAGACUGCCUUGGUAACAAGGAGGAAGGUGCGGGCUACGUUAGGUGAGUACAUCCCUAAUCCCCUGGGCUACACGCGCGCGGCAAUGGUAUGUUCAAUGAGAUGCAACUCCGAGAGGAGAAGCUAAUCCCCUAAAUCAUAUCUCAGUCCAGAUUGAGGGUUGCAACCCACCCUCAUGACGCUGGAAUUCGUAGUAAUCGUUCGUUAGCAUCGAACGGUGAAUAUGUCCCUGCCCCUUGCACAC
rnacentral:rRNA from 1 species